rnacentral:lncRNA from 1 species
AAGAUCCAAAGUUUUUUCGUCAUAGUUAAAUUUCGCCCUAAAAGGCUCUAUGAAAGAAAUUUGAUCACAAAGAAGAUCUUACGCAUACAAGAUGAAGGUGGAAGAUUUUAUGUAGAAGACUUUACCUAGAAAAGCAUUGAUUCUGAUCAAAAGGGAGAACAAGGACUUGCCUAAUCCUAUGAGUUCAGAUUCAAAAAAAAAGAUGAAAAAAUGAUGAUGGAAAAAAGGAAAAGAAAAAGUAAAGAGAAAAAGAA